CUCUGGAACAUCUGCCUCAGCACUCAUUAAAAGUUUCAUUGAGGAAGUUUUGCUUUAAUAAGCCUCAGCCAUCAGGCAAUAACCUGCUAAAAAUUUGCAUUAAAAUUGGUAAACAACCUUCAGAUUGUUUUGUCUUUUAUUCAUAUUACAUAAUACUGUUGUGACUGUUGAAAACGUGGGAAGGGCUGGAAAAAAAAAAAAUCUCUGUCAUUUUAAAGCUCCUUAGCCAGCGGCUGUGAGUAUGACUCAAGAAUGGAAUGGCCGCCCUGUCAAACUACUGAGAGUGACCUCCUUGCAGGCAGGUUCCCAGUGGACAGCCUCUGUAUAUGGGUAAGGAAGGAGAAGUUCUACAUACCAGAAAUGUACUUGCUAUGUGUGAGCUCAUGCAGAGCCACCAACAGACAGGACGUUUGCCCACAGUAUCCUAAAGCACAGUUUCUACAUGAUCUCCGUGCUCUAUAGUCUACAGUCAAAGGCUGAAUUGGCAUGCCAACACUCUCAGGACAGCCCACCAAAACACUCCUCUCCCACCAUGCCAGCGUCCCUCGUGGGGACUGACACAGAGAACAAUUGUAAACCAAAACCUUUGUUUUCUUUCCCUGGCCCUGAGCCUUCCAGGAAUUCUUGCUAGAGUUUUUGGAGCCCAGGCUACACCAGAGAUGAAGUGAGCAAAAGGUCGGAGGCAGAAGGAACAAGAAAGGGCGUUCUGGGACGCACCACAGAGGUGAUGCCUGAGUUCUACACAGGAGGCCCAUGAAGAAGGAAGAGCACAUGGUGGGCAUAGCCUCCAGAGCAAAUGUACCUCAACAUGGCCAUGACCACUGGGGAGAAUAAGAGAGAAGAGGAAGUUGGAAUCGAACAGGUGUAAAGAGCCUUGAACACCACACUAAGGAGCGUGAAUUUCUCUGAGGGUAGACGUCCCAGCCUGCCACAGAGCUGUGGUCCUUCAUGGAUGGGGCCUGCUUCCUUGUACUUUCAGGCUAUGUCGCAGGCAGGGCUCAAUAAGACCGGACACUGAAACA
rnacentral:sRNA from 1 species